UGUCUGCAGCCUGUCUGCGCUGAUCUUCAUUUACAAACGCGUCAUUAAAAUGAACUGUAACUCAGUGAAUACUCAACACAGAGACAUGAGAGAGAUAUCUAUAGAAAGCCUGACGUGUCUACUUUUAAACUAAACAAGUGCUGCCGAAAACAAAUAUUCUGUGAUAAAGUAAUCCAUAUGAAAACAACGCGAUGUCCAUUUUUCACGUCUCCCUUCAUUAUCUUCUAAUGCGACCACGCCCCCGCGCUGAACGCGCUUUUGAGAUGAUAAUGUUUCACUGAAGCGCGCGGCUUGAAUACGCCCACACAACAGAAGACAACACAGCGAGACUGUUCUUCAAGUUUUUUUAUUUUACUGUUUGCUUCGCGAUGAGAGGAAUAAGACAUAAUUCGCCCCAAAAAGAUGUGAUGUGGUUGAGGAUUUGAGAUUUGGAUUUCCUCAGAAAAAAAGAAUGAAGCAUUUUAUUCAGCAGAGAUCUUAAACAUGAGUAAGUCUCUUUUUAUUUAUUUAUAUACUUGUACUAGUUUUCACAUAACGUGUAAACAUUUUACUAGUUAGACUUUUUCCAAAGACUUUUUCCAAACUAUAAUUCCUGACUAAAUGUAUAAUCAAGUGAAAUAUUAUGAAGUUUCAAUAACAAUAUACACUACUAUACCAUUCAAAAGCUUGAUGUAAAUAAUAUAAAUGUACCAAUAAAUGUAACUGUAACAAAUGUAACAAACAAUUCUGUUCUUUCAAUUUAUCCCCCCUAAAAAACCUGAAAAAAAAUAUUCUCAGCUCUUUUCAACAUUAAUAAUAAUAAUAAUAAUAAUAAUAAUGAUAAUAAUAAUAACAAUAAAUGUUUUUUUGUAGAAAAUAAGAUUGUUAAAAGGAUUUCUGAAGGAUUGUGUGACUGGAGGACUGGCAUAAUGAGCCAUUCAGUCAGCUGUGUCACUGAGAGGGGUGAGUUACAAGAAAGAAUGUGAGGACACAAUAAAUGUAUAUAAUUUUAUGUUUGUAGUUUAUUUAGAAUAUAUUUAAUUAUCCCACAACAUAAUUUAAUAUUCACUUGUGAGU
ensembl:lncRNA